rnacentral:rRNA from 1 species
AACGCGAAGAACCUUACCAGGUCUUGACAUCCCAAUGUAAGAUGCAGAGAUGUGUCCCCUCUUCGGAGCAUUGGAGACAGGUGGUGCAUGGUUGUCGUCAGCUCGUGUCGUGAGAUGUUGGGUUAAGUCCCGCAACGAGCGCAACCCUUGAACUUAGUUGCCAGCACUUCGGGUGGGCACUCUAGGUUGACUGCCGGUGACAAACCGGAGGAAGGCGGGGAUGACGUCAAAUCAUCAUGCCCCUUAUGACCUGGGCUACACACGUACUACAAUGGCCGGUACAACGGGCUGCGAAACCGCGAGGUGGAGCCAAUCCUAUCAAAGCCGGUCUCAGUUCGGAUUGCAGGCUGCAACUCGCCUGCAUGAAGUCGGAAUUGCUAGUAAUCGCGGAUCAGCAUGCCGCGGUGAAUACGUUCCCGGGCCUUGUACACACCGCUACAGU